rnacentral:rRNA from 1 species
UUAAGUUAUUAAGGGCGCACGGUGGAUGCCUUGGCACUAGAAGCCGAUGAAGGACGUUACUAACGACGAUAUGCUUUGGGGAGCUGUAAGUAAGCUUUGAUCCAGAGAUUUCCGAAUGGGGAAACCCAGCAUGAGUUAUGUCAUGUUAUCGAUAUGUGAAUACAUAGCAUAUCAGAAGGCACACCCGGAGAACUGAAACAUCUUAGUACCCGGAGGAAGAGAAAGAAAAUUCGAUUCCCUUAGUAGCGGCGAGCGAAACGGGAAGAGCCCAAACCAAAAGCUUGCUUGUUGGGGUUGUAGGACACUCUAUACGGAGUUACAAAGGACGACAUUAGACGAAUCAUCUGGAAAGAUGAAUCAAAGAAGGUAAUAAUCCUGUAGUCGAAAAUGUUGUCUCUCUUGAGUGGAUCCUGAGUACGACGGAGCACGUGAAAUUCCGUCGGAAUCUGGGAGGACCAUCUCCUAAGGCUAAAUACUCUCUAGUGACCGAUAGUGAACCAGUACCGUGAGGGAAAGGUGAAAAGCACCCCGGAAGGGGAGUGAAAUAGAACCUGAAACCGUGUGCUUACAAGUAGUCAGAGCCCGUUAAUGGGUGAUGGCGUGCCUUUUGUAGAAUGAACCGGCGAGUUACGAUUUGAUGCAAGGUUAAGCAGUAAAUGUGGAGCCGUAGCGAAAGCGAGUCUGAAUAGGGCGUUUAGUAUUUGGUCGUAGACCCGAAACCAGGUGAUCUACCCUUGGUCAGGUUGAAGUUCAGGUAACACUGAAUGGAGGACCGAACCGACUUACGUUGAAAAGUGAGCGGAUGAACUGAGGGUAGCGGAGAAAUUCCAAUCGAACCUGGAGAUAGCUGGUUCUCUCCGAAAUAGCUUUAGGGCUAGCCUCAAGUGAUGAUUAUUGGAGGUAGAGCACUGUUUGGACGAGGGGCCCCUCUCGGGUUACCGAAUUCAGACAAACUCCGAAUGCCAAUUAAUUUAACUUGGGAGUCAGAACAUGGGUGAUAAGGUCCGUGUUCGAAAGGGAAACAGCCCAGACCACCAGCUAAGGUCCCAAAAUAUAUGUUAAGUGGAAAAGGAUGUGGCGUUGCCCAGACAACUAGGAUGUUGGCUUAGAAGCAGCCAUCAUUUAAAGAGUGCGUAAUAGCUCACUAGUCGAGUGACACUGCGCCGAAAAUGUACCGGGGCUAAACAUAUUACCGAAGCUGUGGAUUGUCCUUUGGACAAUGGUAGGAGAGCGUUCUAAGGGCGUUGAAGCAUGAUCGUAAGGACAUGUGGAGCGCUUAGAAGUGAGAAUGCCGGUGUGAGUAGCGAAAGACGGGUGAGAAUCCCGUCCACCGAUUGACUAAGGUUUCCAGAGGAAGGCUCGUCCGCUCUGGGUUAGUCGGGUCCUAAGCUGAGGCCGACAGGCGUAGGCGAUGGAUAACAGGUUGAUAUUCCUGUACCACCUAUAAUCGUUUUAAUCGAUGGGGGGACGCAGUAGGAUAGGCGAAGCGUGCGAUUGGAUUGCACGUCUAAGCAGUAAGGCUGAGUAUUAGGCAAAUCCGGUACUCGUUAAGGCUGAGCUGUGAUGGGGAGAAGACAUUGAGUCUUCGAGUCGUUGAUUUCACACUGCCGAGAAAAGCCUCUAGAUAGAAAAUAGGUGCCCGUACCGCAAACCGACACAGGUAGUCAAGAUGAGAAUUCUAAGGUGAGCGAGCGAACUCUCGUUAAGGAACUCGGCAAAAUGACCCCGUAACUUCGGGAGAAGGGGUGCUCUUUAGGGUUAACGCCCAGAAGAGCCGCAGUGAAUAGGCCCAAGCGACUGUUUAUCAAAAACACAGGUCUCUGCUAAACCGUAAGGUGAUGUAUAGGGGCUGACGCCUGCCCGGUGCUGGAAGGUUAAGAGGAGUGGUUAGCUUCUGCGAAGCUACGAAUCGAAGCCCCAGUAAACGGCGGCCGUAACUAUAACGGUCCUAAGGUAGCGAAAUUCCUUGUCGGGUAAGUUCCGACCCGCACGAAAGGCGUAACGAUUUGGGCACUGUCUCAACGAGAGACUCGGUGAAAUCAUAGUACCUGUGAAGAUGCAGGUUACCCGCGACAGGACGGAAAGACCCCGUGGAGCUUUACUGUAGCCUGAUAUUGAAAUUCGGCACAGCUUGUACAGGAUAGGUAGGAGCCUUUGAAACGUGAGCGCUAGCUUACGUGGAGGCGCUGGUGGGAUACUACCCUAGCUGUGUUGGCUUUCUAACCCGCACCACUUAUCGUGGUGGGAGACAGUGUCAGGCGGGCAGUUUGACUGGGGCGGUCGCCUCCUAAAAGGUAACGGAGGCGCUCAAAGGUUCCCUCAGAAUGGUUGGAAAUCAUUCAUAGAGUGUAAAGGCAUAAGGGAGCUUGACUGCGAGACCUACAAGUCGAGCAGGGUCGAAAGACGGACUUAGUGAUCCGGUGGUUCCGCAUGGAAGGGCCAUCGCUCAACGGAUAAAAGCUACCCCGGGGAUAACAGGCUUAUCUCCCCCAAGAGUUCACAUCGACGGGGAGGUUUGGCACCUCGAUGUCGGCUCAUCGCAUCCUGGGGCUGUAGUCGGUCCCAAGGGUUGGGCUGUUCGCCCAUUAAAGCGGUACGCGAGCUGGGUUCAGAACGUCGUGAGACAGUUCGGUCCCUAUCCGUCGUGGGCGUAGGAAAUUUGAGAGGAGCUGUCCUUAGUACGAGAGGACCGGGAUGGACAUACCUCUGGUGUACCAGUUGUCGUGCCAACGGCAUAGCUGGGUAGCUAUGUGUGGACGGGAUAAGUGCUGAAAGCAUCUAAGCAUGAAGCCCCCCUCAAGAUGAGAUUUCCCAACUUCGGUUAUAAGAUCCCUCAAAGAUGAUGAGGUUAAUAGGUUCGAGGUGGAAGCAUGGUGACAUGUGGAGCUGACGAAUACUAAUCGAUCGAAGACUUAAUCAA